GGGUUUUUCCACUCAAGACAUCGCUGAAGCUAUGAGCAGCUGCGGAAGUGGAGCGGCGAUUCAAACGAUCAUUGCGUAUAUAAUUGAGCAUGGAUCUGGCGCUCAGCCGGACGAGGAUAUGACUGCGUUAGAUACAUUGACGACACUCGGCUACAGCUACGAGCAGGCGUCACAAGCAAUUGCAUCGUGUGGGGCGGAGGACAUCGAUGUUCUUGUCGAUUUCCUCGCAGCUCGCGACUUCGACGCGUU